AUCCACUGGAUUUCGAACUGGCAAAGGAGAUAAAGAUCACGUUAAUUCGGGUCGGGGGGGGGUCACGCUGGCCGAGGGUGGAGUAGGAGGGACACUGGUCAGCUAACGGCGUGUUUUAAAAGUCAUCACGGUUUCCAGAGGGCUGAGACUAGACCACAAGAGGCAGCAUGCUCGGGUUUUUUACCUGUUAUCUGACACCACGAUCUAACGCUCUGCUGAGUCAAAAGACGGAAUGAACAAGGCCGUGGAAAUGGUUCCCGUACUGCAGAAACUGUAA